GGGGGUGAACAGGGUUCGACGGGAGUGGCCAGAGGUACAGACAGCAGGCCGGAGUUGGUCGAUGGCUCCGUAAAAAUCGACCGAACAAUAAACAACGAGAAAAUCGUUCCUGUGCAGCAUUUCAAACCCUUUAUGGGUUUUGGGAUGAUGCCCAUAGCCGCUUAACGCGGCUUCGUUUUACCUGAGAUACUCGCUAUCGGGAUAAAACGUCAAUGAGCGGGUUAGUUUUAAGCGGCUUGUGCCGUCGGUUUAAAAUGAAAUCAAAACGGCGCUGGUUUAUAACGUAAUCCCGUCCGGUGACG
rnacentral:tmRNA from 1 species